AAUUCCACCUCACCACCAACUUUUCCAACUUUACAAUUUCAACCCCAACCUUUAUAAUAAUUCACUUUAACCCAAUACAUCAAACUUAAUAAAUUCACCCACAAGUUUCUAAUAAUACACUUCAACCCACUCCAUCAUCCACCACUAUAUAUAUAAAAAUAAUAUCUAGGUUUACAAAAAUAUUAAAAAAAAUAAAUCAAAAAGCUAAAAUAGAAAGUGGUUAUUUUUUCCACCAAAAAGCUCCGAUUUCGGUCACUUUUUCGGCGUUAUUUUCCGACGAUCAGCUGUAAUUUAGUCCACAAACAUCAUAAGCUUUUCCAUUGCAUCCAUUGUUACCUCAUUUGUUUCCUAUCAUCUCAAACACACUUUCCACCAUUGUUAAAAAGCUUUAAAUCACACGCAUUACUCAAAACCACUUUAGAAAGUGCAUUACAGCAGCUCAGGCGACUCCAAGUUCAUUUCUUUAUUCCAUAAACCCAACAAUCAUUGAUUACAAGAAAUAUUUGCAAUUUCAAGUAUUUAUACGGAAAUCUGCACAGUCAUCGACCCAUCCUCGCCAGUCAUUGACCGUGCAUACAACACGACAUAGACCAUAAUCAUAAUCUACCAUCAACCGAAGC
rnacentral:lncRNA from 1 species